UAUCCGAGUCCCUGUAAUUGGAAUGAGUACACUUUAAAUCCUUUAACAAGGACCAAUUUGAGGGCAAGUCUGCGAGCAGCCGCGUUAAUUCCAGCUCCAAUAGCGUAUAUUAAAGUUGUUGCGGUUAAAACGUUCGUAGUUGAACUUGUGAAUCAUACGGGUAGUAAAACUUACAAUUGUGGUUAGUACUAUACCUUUACGUAUGUAAGCGUAUUACCGGUGGAGUUCUUACAUGUCCUUAGAUACUUGUAUUUUUUCAUACGUUCCUCCUAUUUAAAAACCUGCAUUACUGCUCUAAAGCGAGUGUUAUUGUGGGCCGGUAGAAUUACUUUACAAAUUAGAGUGCUUAAAGCAGGCUUCAAAUGCCUGAAUAUUCUGUGAAUGGGAUAAGGAAAUAAGACCUAUAUUCUGCUAUUAAUAGAAGCAGUUUGGGGGCAUUAGUAUUACUACGCGAGAGGUGAAAUUCUUGGACCGUCGUAAGACUAACUAAAGCAUUUGCCAAAGGUGUUUUCAUUAAUCAAGAACGAAAGUUAGAGGUUCGAAGGCGAUCAGAUACCGCCCUAGUUCUAACCAUAAGCGAUGCCAGCUAGCAAUUAGCUACUUUUAUGGCACUCUCAGUCGCUUCCCGGGAAACCAAAGCUUCGGUGCUCCGGGGGAAGUAUGGUUGCAAAGCUGAAACUUAAAGGAAUUGAUUUAAAUUGAAUUGAUGUAAUAGCUCUUUCUCGAAUAUAUGGGUGGUGGUGCAUGGUCGUUUUUAGUUCGUGGAGUAAUUUGUCUGGUUAAUUCCGAUAACGAACGGGACCCAAAUAUAUUAAAUAGAUAUCUUCUUGAAGUUUACAUAGCCUUCAUUUAUGGUGGCAGUAAAAUGUUUAUUCUGUUUGAAUGUGUUUAUAUAAGUGGAGCUGUAGCUGUGGUUUACCCCAUUAUAAAUUACACUAGCUUCUUAAAUAAACAAAUUGCGUCUAGCAAUAAUGAGAUUGAGCAAAAACAGGUCUGUGAUGCCCUUAGAUGUCCUGGGCUGCACGCACGCUACAAUGAAAGUAUCAACGUGUAUUUCCUAGACCGAGAGGUCCGGGUAAACCGCUGAACCACUUUCAUGCUUGGGAUUGUGAACUGAAACUGUUCAAAUGAACUUGGAAUUCCCAGUAAGUGUGAGUCAUUAACUCGCAUUGAUUACGUCCCUGCCCUUUGUACACACCGCCCGUCGCUACUACCGAUUGAAUUAUUAAGUGAGGUCUCCGGACGUGAUCGCUGUGACGCCUUGUGUGUU
rnacentral:rRNA from 1 species